CACAUAUUUUUUCAUAAUAACGAGCAGGGGUGAGGCCACAAAUGUUCAAGUUGGUGGGGCUACAUAAAACUGGAAGGGCAAAGUGAAGUGUAGGUCUAUAAAAACUGCAUGUCAAAUUGUCAACAGAAUAUACAGAACAAAGGGUUAAUAUACAAUACUUCUAAAUCAUUCAUAAACUUUCAUUUUAAUUUCAGCAUUUACAAAUACAUAAUUAAAAUUAAAUGGUGUAUCUUUUAACAUAACUGUCAACAUUUGUAUUCUAACAAAAAUAACAACUAACAGUUCUAUUUUUUUAUUACCUAACGUUAACAAAUAUAUUGUAACAAAUGUAUUGCUCAUUGUUAAUGUUAGUUAUAUCUUUCCUAUUCUUGGAACAAAAUUAAUGCUUAAAGUUGAUUCAGUAUUACUCUUAAAGAAAAAAAAGAAAAAAUCCCACACACAACAUCCCGAUGUCAGUGUCGUGGACUUGAGAUUCCUUCUUUUACCCUGGUCUUAGUUCCUGCUUUCCUUAUUUGGUCAUGUUUCCUGUGCCUGUCGUUAUGUUGAUUUCAUUCCAGGUGUUGCCCGUCUGUUUUGAUUGAUCCCAGGUGUGUCUUGUUUCCCCUCAUCUUGUCUAGUGUUUAAAUAGUAUUGUAUUUAGUCUAGUGUCUGGUAUUGUGUUCCUGCAUUCCAGAACUAUGUUCUAUGUUGUUUUGAGUUCAUUAAAGUCUGCUGAUUUUGAGCUACUCCUGUGUCUCUGUGUUCCAUUGCCCCCUGGGAGGUUGUUACAGAAUACCGGACCAAAAAAGGAAAGAAGAAUGACAGUGCCUGAGGAUUGGCUAUGCUGCUUGCGGCAGGGUGGUUGGCCAUUGGAACAGUAUGUGGAGGAAUUCCUCAAGCUUUCUUAUCGGGGAUGGACUUCCUACAGCGCUGACCUGGGGGCCAAAGUUUAUGACCCUGCAUUAGUCUGUCAGGUCAGAGCUAAAGGCUGUUCCCCUUCCACUACCUCCAGCCAUCUCGGUCCUUGGCCCCGAAUUGCUGGCCGCUGCUGAUGCCCCAUUCACCCCAACCCAAAUGAGGAGGAUGAGGAGAAAGACUGUACUCAGCCCUUAUCCUUGCUCCAGUCCCAGAGCUCACUCCAGUGUUGGCUCCUUAUCCCCCGUUAAGUUAAGCCCAGGAAGGGUGAACUGGGGAUCAAAACAAUUGUUUAAUAUACUACAAACAAUUAUUUAUUGUUGACUUAACG
ensembl:lncRNA